rnacentral:rRNA from 1 species
UACGUAGGGCGCAAGCGUUGUCCGGAAUUAUUGGGCGUAAAGAGCUCGUAGGCGGCUUGUCACGUCGGAUGUGAAAGCCCGAGGCUUAACCUCGGGUCUGCAUUCGAUACGGGCUAGCUAGAGUGUGGUAGGGGAGAUCGGAAUUCCUGGUGUAGCGGUGAAAUGCGCAGAUAUCAGGAGGAACACCGAUGGCGAAGGCAGCUCGCUGGGACGGUACUGACGCUGAGGCACGAAAGCGUGGGGAGCAAACAGG